UAUAGGUAUAUUACCAUACAAUCACUCCUACUAUCUUUACAUCAUAUUUUCCUUUACCCUCUCACUUAAUUUUCAGUUCUAUCUAGAGAAAGAAACAACUAGUAAUUAACUAUAGACAGAAGGAGAACAAAAGAACCAGCCAUGGGAGUAGCUCAAGUUAACCAAAUGUGGUUACAUCUCAUGAUCAUCCUCUUCUCCUUCUCCAUCUCCAUUUCUUCUAUUUCUGGAGCUGAAUCAAAUUGUAUAUAUACAGCUUAUGUCCGUACUGGGCCAUUCGUAGAGGAUGCAACUGACUCAAAAAUUACCUUAACUCUGUAUGAUGCAAGUGGAUCUGGAAUUAGAAUCAACAACCUAGUGGCUUGGGGUGGGCUGAUGGGCAAUGGUUACAACUACUUUGAAAGGGAUAGCAGGGAUAUGUUCAGUGGUAAAGGCCCAUGCUUGUCUGGCCCUAUUUGCAAAAUGGUGUUAACUUCAGAUGGUACAGGAAGAAAUCAUGAAUGGUACUAACUACGUUGAAGUCACAUCAACAGGAGACCACAAACAAUGCAGCCAACAAUUGUUCAAUGUGGAUCAAUGGCUUAGCACCAAUCGUUCACCAUAUCAGCUCUCGGCCACCAGGAACAACUGUAGGCGUUUGUCGGAUGAGCAACAGUCGCUUUACCUUACUGAAUCAAAUAAUGUUGUUGAUGUGUAAUUUGAGAAUUUCUUCUCUAUCUUUUCAAUUUUAUGUUAUCUCAUCAUAUAUGUUCUACCUUUGGAUCUAAUUUUCAAUGUUCUUCGCUUCUAAUGUAACUUUGUGAGUUGCUUCUAGCA